GGAAAGUAGGACGCAGUGGUGUGUAACUAGUCUAGAAAACUAGCCUCUCGGGACCUCUCGGGGAUGGUUCGACUCCAUUACUUUCCUCCA
rnacentral:tRNA from 1 species